rnacentral:rRNA from 2 species
GGGUUGUGAGGUUAAGCGACUAAGCGUACACGGUGGAUGCCCUGGCAGUCAGAGGCGAUGAAGGGCGUGCUAAUCUGCGAUAAGCGCCGGUAAGGUGAUAUGAACCGUUAUAACCGGCGAUACCCGAAUGGGGAAACCCAGUGUGACUCGUCACACUAUCAUUAACUGAAUCCAUAGGUUAAUGAGGCGAACCGGGGGAACUGAAACAUCUAAGUACCCCGAGGAAAAGAAAUCAACCGAGAUUCCCCCAGUAGCGGCGAGCGAACGGGGAGGAGCCCAGAGCCUGAAUCAGCAUGUGUGUUAGUGGAAGCGUCUGGAAAGGCGCGCGAUACAGGGUGACAGCCCCGUACACAAAAGCGCAUGUGCUGUGAGCUCGAUGAGUAGGGCGGGACACGUGGUAUCCUGUCUGAAUAUGGGGGGACCAUCCUCCAAGGCUAAAUACUCCUGACUGACCGAUAGUGAACCAGUACCGUGAGGGAAAGGCGAAAAGAACCCCGGCGAGGGGAGUGAAAAAGAACCUGAAACCGUGUACGUACAAGCAGUGGGAGCACAGGUUUACCUGUGUGACUGCGUACCUUUUGUAUAAUGGGUCAGCGACUUAUAUUCUGUAGCAAGGUUAACCGAAUAGGGGAGCCGGAGGGAAACCGAGUCUUAAUUGGGCGUUAAGUUGCAGGGUAUAGACCCGAAACCCGGUGAUCUAGCCAUGGGCAGGUUGAAGGUUGGGUAACACUAACUGGAGGACCGAACCGACUAAUGUUGAAAAAUUAGCGGAUGACCUGUGGCUGGGGGUGAAAGGCCAAUCAAACCGGGAGAUAGCUGGUUCUCCCCGAAAGCU